GUGAAUCUUUUACCUCUUGGUAAGUUCUGUGGACGGCAGGUACCGGAGUUCCAAUCUCCAGGAAACCUCAUCCACGUCGUCUUCACAACUGACCAAUCAAACACUUAUACUGGCUUCCGCAUCCAAUUCACAGAAGUCAGUGCAUCUGCCUGUAGAUACAUCAUCAAACCAUCUACAGAGGUGUCAUAUCUGUACUCGCCAGGCUAUCCUAAUCUUUAUUUGAACAAUCUGAACUGUAACUGGGUAUUCAAUACAGGACGUGGAAUGGAAUUACAUUUAAUAUUCCUCGAUUUUCACAUUCAAGGACGAUAUCCAGAAUGUAACCAUGACAACAUCAGUUUGACACGACG